ensembl:lncRNA
UGCUGGGAGGGAGAGGGCUGGGGAUGCCAGUGCAAUGGGGUCUGAAGAGUGAAUAUUCGAGCUGAGGCUUCGGUAAGAAGAGGGCCAGCUGCCCACAUCUGACUGGGGAAGAGCAGGUUGGGCAGAGGGGCCAGCAGGUGCAAAGCUGCUGAGACGGGGACAGGGUGGACACAUGUGAGGGGUAAGACAAGGCAGUGUGGUGGAUGCUGGUCACGAGACCCCAUAGAGACCUGCUGGGGAUUUGAGUGGGGCUCUGGGUGAGCUCAGGAACAGAAGGGCUUUAAGCAAGGGGUCCUCCUGAAGAUCACUGUGUGAGGAGCAGGGACUGGAAAGGGGCAGGAGUGGCCUCCCUCCCACUGUCACCUGGUGAACUCCUUCUCAUCCUUCAAAUGCCAACCCAAUGGGCACUUCCCCGGUCAGGUCAUAAUACCAGCUUCCCUUUAUUGCACCUAGCUCUGAGGUAAUCUCAUGUGUGUCUGUGGUCACUUGAUUAAUGUCUUUCUUCUCCACUAGACUCUUUGCUCCUUGGGGUCAGGGGCACAUCUGCCUCACUCAUCCUCACACAUUUUUGUCAUUUGGCGGCACCAGGUCUUGGCUGCAGCACACAGGAUCUCUAGUUGCGGCAUGCGAGCUCUUAGCUGUGACACAUGGGAUCUAGUUCUCUGACCAGGGAUUGAACUCAGGUCCCCUAUACUGGGAGCGCAGAGUCUUAGCCACUGAACCACCAGGGAAGUCCUUGCCUCUGCUCAUCUUAAAUCCCCAGCACCAUGCAGGGAGCCUGGCGUGCAGUGUAUGCUCAAUGGAUAUGAUCACAUCAAGACCCUGGGGCAGAUCCCCAGCCUCAGCCCAUUUUCCACUUCCUCAAGGGAUGGCUCCUCGCUUCUGCUUCUUCCUUUUCGUCUGCCUCUUCUAUAGAACCCAGCAUGACUGUAAAUAGCUGUGGCAUUGUCACACACACACACGUGCACACACACAUACCCACUAGACUGAGCUCCAGAGAGCAGGGCAUGUGUGAGUCCUUCACUGUAUGCCUAGGAUCUCCUCAAGUCAUGUGAUGCCAUUGUACAUACAAAGAAGUACCUCACCCAUUUGAACCUCCACCUACUCAAAGAUUUCCCACUUGAGCUUGGUAAAAACUCUGUGCCCUGAAGUUAGGGUCAAACCCCUCUUCCUUCUCCCAGCUGAGCAGCUUCACCCACAGACCCACCAGCAGCAGGGGCCCCUGUCCUUCCCUGGACCCACAGUCCCAGAAUUGCUCACAUAAACAGGGAUGAGCCCUAUUUGCAAAGAUACAAUGGCUAUAUUUUGCAAACCAAAAAUGAGCAUGCACAGACUAAGGCUUAAACCUGGGGACAAAACACUGGAAUGUCUGACCUCUGAUCUGGUCCAGAAAGUUGGAGAAAUGUGGUCCCUAUUUUUAGGGUCAACUACUUCCUCCUAUUACAGCACAAUGCCCAUGGUCCCUAGUGCUGUUAGAUCCCACUUAAUUAAUCAGCAUAUUCUUGAAAUAAAUA